rnacentral:lncRNA from 1 species
AGGAAGGAUACGAUCAUGGGAACUGGGGAGGAAUAUGGCUAUGGGAAAAAGAAGAGGGAGAGAUGGCACUGUGGGAAAUGGGGAAGAGGGAGGGAUAAGGAUGUGGGGAAAGGGGGAGAGGGUGUGGGGAAAGGGGGAAAGGGUGUGGGAGAAGGGGAAAGAGAGGGGUAUGGUUAUGGGAAAUGGGGAGAGGAGGAAUGAGACCGUGGGAACUGGGGAGAGGGAAGGAUAAGGAUGUGAGGAAUCAUAGAAUGGCACAGAACGGACUGUAAAGCCCAUCUAGUUCCACCUCGCGUGCCAUGGAAAGGGAGAGGGAGGGAUGUGGGCAUGGGAAAGGAUGAAGGAUGAAGGGGUGGGAGAGAGACGUGGAUAUGGGAAAGAGGAAGGAUGUAGGAAAAGAGAAGAGGGGGAGAGAUAUGGGUGUGGGACCUGGGGAGGAGGGAUAUGCACAUGGGAUAAGGAGAGAAAAAGAGAUGGGGCUGUGGAAAAUGGGAGAGAGAGGGGUUGUGGAAAGUGGGGAGAGGGAGGCAUAAGGAUGUGGGGAAAAGGGAGGGAAAGAGAUGGGGCUAUGUGGACAUGGGAAAAGGGGAAAAGGAAUAUGGAUAUGGAUAAAGGGGAGAAGGAAGCAUAGGGAUGUGGGUAAAGAGGGAGAGGAAGGUAUAUGAGUGUUGGAAAAGGGAGAUAUAGGGAUGUGGGAGAACAGGGAGAGGGAGGAGUAUGGAUGUAAGAAAAAGGGGAGAAUUGGGGCUGUGGGAAAUGAGAGAUGGGGGAUAUGGAAGAUGGGGAGAGGGAGGCAUAGGGAUAUGGGUCAUGAGGAAUAGGAAGGAAUAUGAUGAGAAAAGGUAGAGGAAGGGAUAUGGAUGUGGAAAAGAGGGGAAAAGGAGGUAUAAGGAUAUGGGAAAGUGGGGAGAGAAAGAUAUGGAUGUGGGAAGUGAGGAGAAGGAAGGAUGUGGGGAUGGGAAAAGGGAGAGAGAGAGAGAGAGAGACACAUAAGGAUGUAUAAAUUUGGGGAGAGGGAUAUGGUCGUGGCAACUGGAAAGAGGGAGGGAUUUGGUUAUGGGAAAUGGGGAGAUGAAAGGAGGAAAGCCUGGGAACUCAAGGGGAAGGAGAUGUGGAUGUUGGAAAAGGGGGAGAGGGAGAGAUGGGCACUGAAGCAGAGGGUCAGCCCCACACCUUUGGGUGCGGCCCCACACCUUUCUGUGGAGCAGGAGCAAGUUUGGUUUUGGGGCACCAGGCAGCCCACGCUGGGAACGGAAUAAGGGGGGAUACCCAUCUGCACCCUCUGUGCUCCCCCUGCCCUGUGCCUGACUAAAUCACUAAAACUUAUAGAACAGCGAUCAGUAUUAAUGAAUGUAAUCCAAUUUAUAUUAAUUAAUAAAUUAUUAAAAU